AACACAUGCAAGUCGAGGGGCAUCAGGAACAUUGCUUGCUUUCUUUGCCGGCGACCGGCGCACGGGUGAGUAACACGUAUCCAACCUGCCCUUUACUCGGGGAUAGCCUUUCGAAAGAAAGAUUAAUACCCGAUAGUAUAAUGAUUCCGCAUGGUUUCAUUAUUAAAGGAUUCCGGUAAAGGAUGGGGAUGCGUUCCAUUAGGUUGUUGGUGAGGUAACGGCCCACCAAGCCUUCGAUGGAUAGGGGUUCUGAGAGGAAGGUCCCCCACAUUGGAACUGAGACACGGUCCAAACUCCUACGGGAGGCAGCAGUGAGGAAUAUUGGUCAAUGGGCGCUAGCCUGAACCAGCCAAGUAGCGUGAAGGAUGAAGGCUCUAUGGGUCGUAAACUUCUUUUAUAUAAGAAUAAAGUGCAGUAUGUAUACUGUUUUGUAUGUAUUAUAUGAAUAAGGAUCGGCUAACUCCGUGCCAGCAGCCGCGGUAAUACGGAGGAUCCGAGCGUUAUCCGGAUUUAUUGGGUUUAAAGGGAGCGUAGGUGGACUGGUAAGUCAGUUGUGAAAGUUUGCGGCUCAACCGUAAAAUUGCAGUUGAUACUGUCAGUCUUGAGUACAGUAGAGGUGGGCGGAAUUCGUGGUGUAGCGGUGAAAUGCUUAGAUAUCACGAAGAACUCCGAUUGCGAAGGCAGCUCACUGGACUGCAACUGACACUGAUGCUCGAAAGUGUGGGUAUCAAACAGGAUUAGAUACCCUGGUAGUCCACACAGUAAACGAUGAAUACUCGCUGUUUGCGAUAUACAGUAAGCGGCCAAGCGAAAGCAUUAAGUAUUCCACCUGGGGAGUACGCCGGCAACGGUGAAACUCAAAGGAAUUGACGGGGGCCCGCACAAGCGGAGGAACAUGUGGUUUAAUUCGAUGAUACGCGAGGAACCUUACCCGGGCUUAAAUUGCAGUGGAAUGAUGUGGAAACAUGUCAGUGAGCAAUCACCGCUGUGAAGGUGCUGCAUGGUUGUCGUCAGCUCGUGCCGUGAGGUGUCGGCUUAGGUGCCAUAACGAGCGCAACCCUUAUCUUCAGUUACUAACAGGUCAUGCUGAGGACUCUGGAGAGACUGCCGUCGUAAGAUGUGAGGAAGGUGGGGAUGACGUCAAAUCAGCACGGCCCUUACGUCCGGGGCUACACACGUGUUACAAUGGGGGGUACAGAAGGCAGCUAGCGGGUGACCGUAUGCUAAUCCCAAAAGCCUCUCUCAGUUCGGAUCGAAGUCUGCAACCCGACUUCGUGAAGCUGGAUUCGCUAGUAAUCGCGCAUCAGCCACGGCGCGGUGAAUACGUUCCCGGGCCUUGUACACACCGCCCGUCAAGCCAUGGGAGCCGGGGGUACCUGAAGUACGUAACCGCAAGGAUCGUCCUAGGGUAAAACUGGUGACUGGGGCUAAAU
rnacentral:rRNA from 1 species